rnacentral:misc_RNA from 1 species
GAUGAAGAACGUAGCGAAAUGCGAUACGUAAUGUGAAUUGCAGAAUUCAGUGAAUCAUCGAAUCUUUGAACGCAUAUUGCGCUCUUUGGUAUUCCGAAGAGCAUGCUUGUUUGAGUAUCAGUAAACACCUCAACCUCUUCUUGAUUUUUCAAAAGGAGGGUGGACUUGAGCUAUCCCAACCACCUUUACCGGUCGGCGGGCGGCUUGAAAUGCAGGUGCAGCUGGACUUUUAUCUGAGCUAAAAGCAUAUCUAUUUAGUCCUCGUCAAACAGGAUUAUUACUUUUGCUGCAGCUAACAUAAAGGAUAAUUGUCCUCUUUGCUGACUGAUGCAGGAUUUUACGACACUUUAUGUGUUGUUCAACUCGAUCUCAAAUCAAGUAAGACUACCCGCUGAACUUAAGCAUAUCAAUAAGCGGAGGA